rnacentral:rRNA from 1 species
CAGUGGCGAACGGGUGAGUAACACGUGGGCAAUCUGCCCUGCACUCUGGGACAAGCCCUGGAAACGGGGUCUAAUACCGGAUAUUACCUUCCCCUGCAUGGGGGUUGGUGGAAAGCUCCGGCGGUGCAGGAUGAGCCCGCGGCCUAUCAGCUUGUUGGUGGGGUAAUGGCCUACCAAGGCGACGACGGGUAGCCGGCCUGAGAGGGCGACCGGCCACACUGGGACUGAGACACGGCCCAGACUCCUACGGGAGGCAGCAGUGGGGAAUAUUGCACAAUGGGCGAAAGCCUGAUGCAGCGACGCCGCGUGAGGGAUGACGGCCUUCGGGUUGUAAACCUCUUUCAGCAGGGAAGAAGCGAAAGUGACGGUACCUGCAGAAGAAGCACCGGCUAACUACGUGCCAGCAGCCGCGGUAAUACGUAGGGUGCGAGCGUUGUCCGGAAUUAUUGGGCGUAAAGAGCUCGUAGGCGGCC